UGGGGAAUAUUGCACAAUGGGGGAAACCCUGAUCCAGCCAUGCCGCGUGUGUGAAGAAGGCCUUAGGGUCGUAAAGCACUUUCGCCAGGGAUGAUAAUGACAGUACCUGGUAAAGAAACCCCGGCUAACUCCGUGCCAGCAGCCGCGGUAAUACGGAGGGGGUUAGCGUUGUUCGGAAUUACUGGGCGUAAAGCGUACGUAGGCGGAUCAGAAAGUAUGGGGUGAAAUCCCAGGGCUCAACCCUGGAACUGCCUCAUAAACUCCUGGUCUUGAGUUCGAGAGAGGUGAGUGGAAUUCCGAGUGUAGAGGUGAAAUUCGUAGAUAUUCGGAGGAACACCAGUGGCGAAGGCGGCUCACUGGCUCGAUACUGACGCUGAGGUACGAAAGUGUGGGGAGCAAACAGGAUUAGAUACCCUGGUAGUCCACACCGUAAACGAUGAAUGCCAGUCGUCGGGCAGUAUACUGUUCGGUGACACACCUAACGGAUUAAGCAUUCCGCCUGGGGAGUACGGUCGCAAGAUUAAA
rnacentral:rRNA from 1 species